rnacentral:tRNA from 1 species
GCCUGGGUGGCUUGGUCGGUUAAGCAUCUGACUUCGGCUCAGGUCAUGAUCUCAUGGUCCGUGAGUUCGAGCCCCGCGUCAGGCU